GCCGAGGUGGCGGAACAGGUAGACGCGCUGCGUUCAGGGCGCAGUGGGGGCAACCCCGUAAGGGUUCGAGUCCCUUUCUCGGCA
rnacentral:tRNA from 1 species